rnacentral:rRNA from 1 species
GACGAACGCUGGCGGCGUGCUUAACACAUGCAAGUCGAACGGAAAGGCCCUGCUUUUGUGGGGUGCUCGAUUGGCGAACGGGUGAGUAACACGUGAGUAACCUGCCCUUAACUUUGGGAUAACUUCAGGAAACUGGGGCUAAUACCGGAUAGGAUCUCCUGCUGCAUGUUGGGCGUUGGAAAGUUUCGGCGGUGGGGGAUGGACUCGCGGGUUAUCAGCUUGUUGGUGGGGUAGUGGCAUACCAAGGCUUUGACGGGUAGCCGGCCUGGGAGGGUGACCGGCGACAUUGGGACUGAGGUACGGACCAGACUCGUACGGGAGGCAGCAGUGGAGAAUCUUACACAAUGAGCGGAAGCGUGAUACAGCAACGCUGCGUGCGGGAAGACGGCCUUCGGGUUGUGAACCGCUUUCGCCUGUGACGAAGCGUGAGUGACGGUAAUGAGCAAAGAAGCACCGGCUAACUACGUG